rnacentral:rRNA from 1 species
UACGAAGGGGGCUAGCGUUGUUCGGAAUUACUGGGCGUAAAGCGCGCGCAGGCGGCUAUCCAAGUCAGUGGUGAAAGCCCGGAGCUCAACUCCGGAACUGCCAUUGAAACUGUUUAGCUUGAGGACGAGAGAGGUGAGUGGAAUUCCCAGUGUAGAGGUGAAAUUCGUAGAUAUUGGGAAGAACACCGGUGGCGAAGGCGGCUCACUGGCUCGUAUCUGACGCUCAGGCGCGACAGCGUGGGAUCGAAACAGG